AACGUGUUAACUCAAUGGAUAGAGUAUUGUGCUACGGACACAAAAGUUACAAGUUCGAGUCUUGUACACGUUU
rnacentral:tRNA from 1 species